AUUGAACGCUGGCGGCAGGCCUAACACAUGCAAGUCGAGCGAGCGGCGGACGGGUGAGUAAUGUCUGGGAAACUGUCCGCUGGAGGGGGAUAAAUCCUGGAAACGGUAGCUCAUACCGCAUACCAUCAGAUGUGCCCAGAUGGGAUUAGCUAGUAGGUGGGGUAACGGCUCACCUAGGCGACGAUCCCUAGCUGGUCUGAGAGGAUGACCAGCCACACUGGAACUGAGACACGGUCCAGACUCCUACGGGAGGCAGCAGUGGGGAAUAUUGCACAAUGGGCGCAAGCCUGAUGCAGCCAUGCCGCGUGUAUGAAGAAGGCCUUCGGGUUGUAAAGUACUUUCAGCGGGGAGGCGUUACCCGCAGAAGAAGCACCGGCUAACUCCGUGCCAGCCGCCGCGGUAAUUC
rnacentral:rRNA from 1 species